ensembl:lncRNA
CCCUCCCUCUCUCCCCACAGGGUUCUUCCCUCUCUCUCCCUGAGACAAAUGUUUUGCAAUUGCAUUAUCUUUGCUAUGAUAAUUACCCUCUGAGAGUCUGAUGUAGGUCAAGAGCCGGAUAGCCAGAGGAGAUCAUCUUUUUUUUUGCUGAAGUUUCUGAACCUUUCAAGAAUUAAUCCGGGACCACAGGGAGCCAGGCAAAGUCCUCCAAGCAGUGGCAUGCCACAGCUGGCUCCAGCUGUGUACGAAAGAUUUUGUGAGCUGUUUGAGAUCACAGAGGUACCCUGAAAUUGCCUUGAUGGGGCUGUUUACAGCAUGAAAAUCAACAAAUACUGCAAAUCCAACUUCUAGUAUCUCUCUGAACUGAGUGCGAAGCAUUCAUCGGCACACUAUAAUCCAUCAUUGCAUACCUGUGGCUUUUUUCUUAUGACACUGACUUAUUAAAGAGAACAGAUCAGUUGCUCUGUAGAAUGUGUUGCUUUCUACAUGUGUCUGACUGUGAUAGCCCACAUAUUUCCUAUAUACUGGAGGUUAUAUCAAAAGGCUAAAUAGAUUCAAGUUAAACAUUCCUGGCUUUUAAUUGUUUUAGAUAUAUAAUGUGAUUUUCCAAAAGACACAUAAUAUUUGGUUGACUCACCACUAAUGAUACUAACAUUGGCCUCUAGAUUAAAUUUAGUAAGAGCAAUUCAGUCCCUCCAUUGUAGAGUUAUGUUUUUC